rnacentral:tRNA from 1 species
UGGGGGGUAAAAUAAGAGGUAAAUUUAAUUCAAAUAAUUUUUUGGCAAAAAAAAUCCCCAUUUUUCCCCAA